rnacentral:rRNA from 1 species
GACGAACGCUGGCGGCGUGCUUAACACAUGCAAGUCGAACGGAAAGGCCCUGCUUUUGUGGGGUGCUCGAGUGGCGAACGGGUGAGUAACACGUGAGUAACCUGCCCUUGACUUUGGGAUAACUUCAGGAAACUGGGGCUAAUACCGGAUAGGAGCUCCUGCUGCGUGGUGGGGGUUGGAAAGUUUCGGCGGUUGGGGAUGGACUCGCGGCUUAUCAGCUUGUUGGUGGGGUAGUGGCUUACCAAGGCUUUGACGGGUAGCCGGCCUGAGAGGGUGACCGGCCACAUUGGGACUGAGAUACGGCCCAGACUCCUACGGGAGGCAGCAGUGGGGAAUAUUGCACAAUGGGCGGAAGCCUGAUGCAGCAACGCGGCGUGCGGGAUAACGGCCUUCGGGUGGUAAACCGCUUUCGCCUGUGACGAAGCGUGAGUGAGGGUGAUGUGUAAAGAAGCACCGGCUAACUACGUG